GAUGAACGCUGGCGGCGUGCUUAACACAUGCAAGUCGAACGAUUCUCUUCGGAGAAGAGCGGCGGACGGGUGAGUAACGCGUGGGUAACCUGCCCUGUACACACGGAUAACAUACCGAAAGGUAUGCUAAUACGAGAUAAUAUGCUUCUAUCGCAUGGUAGAAGUAUCAAAGCUCCGGCGGUACGGGAUGGACCCGCGUCUGAUUAGCUAGUUGGUAAGGUAACGGCUUACCAAGGCGACGAUCAGUAGCCGACCUGAGAGGGUGAUCGGCCACAGUGGAACUGAGACACGGUCCAAACUCCUACGGGAGGCAGCAGUGGGGAAUAUUGCACAAUGGGCGAAAGCCUGAUGCAGCAACGCCGCGUGAGCGAUGAAGGCCUUCGGGUCGUAAAGCUCUGUCCUCAAGGAAGAUAAUGACGGUACUUGAGGAGGAAGCCCCGGCUAACUACGUGCCAGCAGCCGCAGUAA
rnacentral:rRNA from 1 species